UCGGUCCCGGUUCACGUGCGGCUGUCAGCUGCCGACCCGGUGCC
rfam:Kitasatospora sp. Root187 contig_3, whole genome shotgun sequence.